rnacentral:rRNA from 1 species
CGUACAGGCGGCUUUGUAAGUCAGAUGUGAAAUCCUUGAGCUUAACUUGAGAACUGCAUUUGAUACUGCUUGGCUUGAGAUCAGGAGAGGAAAGCGGAAUAUGUGGUGUAGCGGUGAAAUGCGCAGAUAUCACAUAGAACACCGGUGGCGAAGGCGGCUUUCUGGCCUGACUCUGACGCUGACGCGCGAAAGCUAGGGGAGCGAACG